rnacentral:rRNA from 1 species
UGGGGAAUAUUGGACAAUGGGCGAAAGCCUGACCCAGCAACGCCGCGUGAAGGAUGAAGUAUUUCGGUAUGUAAACUUCGAAAGAAUAGGAAGAAUAAAUGACGGUACUAUUUAUAAGGUCCGGCUAACUACGUGCCAGCAGCCGCGGUAAUACGUAGGGACCAAGCGUUGUUCGGAUUUACUGGGCGUAAAGGGCGCGUAGGCGGCAUGACAAGUCACUUGUGAAAUCUCUGGGCUUAACCCAGAACGGCCAAGUGAUACUGUCGCGCUAGAGUGCAGAAGGGGCAAUCGGAAUUCUUGGUGUAGCGGUGAAAUGCGUAGAUAUCAAGAGGAACACCUGAGGUGAAGACGGGUUGCUGGGCUGACACUGACGCUGAGGCGCGAAAGCCAGGGGAGCAAACGGGAUUAGAUACCCCAGUAGUCCCUGAGCGGGCUGGCAAGGCGCAU